AGGUUGGCUCAGAAGCAGCCAUCCUUUAAAGAGUGCGUAACAGCUCACUAGUCGAGUGACCCUGCGCCGAAAAUGUACCGGGGCUAAGCCUGAUACCGAAACUGCGGAUUGUAGGAAACUAUAGUGGUAGGGGAGCGUUGUAUACGAGCAGAAGCCGUACCGUGAGGAGCGGUGGAUUGUAUAGAAGUGAGAAUGCCGGUGUGAGUAGCGAGAUGUAGGUGAGAAUCCUACACACCGAAAGCCCAAGGAUUCCAGGGGAAGGUUCGUCCGCCCUGGGUAAGUCGGGACCUAACGCGAGGCCGAAAGGCGUAGUGGAUGGAAAGCAGGCGAAAGAUUCCUGCACCCGUAUAUGGAGCGAAGGAGUGACGGAGACGGAUAGUGUGACCCUCUUAAUGGAUUGAGGGCGAAGCGAAGCGGCUGGUUACCAGGCAAAUCCGGUAACCUUAAGGCUAGAGCGUGACAGGUAAGCGAAAUCUACGGAAAGUAGCGAAGCACAUGAUGACGGCUUCCAGGAAAAGCUUCUGGCAAUGCAUAUGCGGCCCGUACCAAAACCGACACAGGUGGGCAGGGAGAGAAUCCCGAGGUGAGCGAGAGAACUGUUGCCAAGGAACUCGGCAAAAUGACUCCGUAAGUUAGCGAGAAGGAGUGCUUAAGCAAUUAAGCCGCAGUGAAGAGGCCCAAGCGACUGUUUAACUAAAACACAGCUCUCUGCGAAGUCGCAAGACGAAGUAUAGGGGGUGACACCUGCCCGGUGCUGGAAGGUUAAGAGGAUCUGUUAAGAGCGAUCUGAAGCAGUGAUCCGAAGCCCCAGUGAACGGCGGCCGUAACUAUAACGGUCCUAAGGUAGCGAAAUUCCUUGUCAGGUAAGUUCUGACCCGCACGAAAGGUGUAACGAUUUGGGCGCUGUCUCGGCAGCAGACUCGGUGAAAUCUUAGUACCUGUGAAAAUGCAGGUUACCCGCAACUAGACGGAAAGACCCCAUGGAGCUUUACUGCAGCCUGAUAUUGAAUUCUGGUCAUACAUGUACAGGAUAGGUGGGAGACAAAGAGACGUGCACGCCAGUGUACGAGGAGUCGCCGUUGGGAUACCACUCUUGUGUGACCGGGGUUCUAACCUGGUAUCGAGAACAGGUACGGGGAGAGUGUCAGGUGGGCAGUUUGACUGGGGCGGUCGCCUCCCAAAGAGUAACGGAGGCGCCCAAAGGUACGCUCAGUCCCGGGCAGCCUGGAUUUUCCUUACUUCUGCUUUGCAGCCAAGUCCGCCAGCGCGUCCUUACGGGACAGAUUGAUGCGUCCCUGCUGGUCGAUCUCGGUGACCUUUACCAGAAGCUCGUCGCCCACAGCCACGACAUCUUCCACCUUCUCCACGCGCUUGGUGUCCAGCUUGGAGAUAUGCACCAGGCCCUCUUUGCCCGGGGCAAUCUCUACGAACGCGCCGAACGUCAUCAGACGGGUGACCUUGCCCUUAUAGAUGGCGCCGAUCUCCGGGUCCUCCACAAUGGUCUUGAUGGUGUGCAUGGCGCGCUCCGCGUCCGCGAUGUCGAUGGCGGAGAUGAAUACGCUGCCGUCUUCCUCGAUGUCGAUCUUCGCGUUGCAGUUGGCGCAGAUCUCCUGAAUGACCUUGCCGCCCUUGCCGAUGACGUCGCGGAUCUUAUCCACAUCGAUCUUCAUGGACAGCAUCUUGGGCGCGUACUUGGAAAGCUCCGCGCGCGGCUCGGCGAU
rnacentral:rRNA from 1 species